GCCGAUGAUGUUUCAAUCCAACUAUGAGGUGUAGUGAAGCCAAGGUCCCUGCUUUGCAGGGGGAACCUCCUUGGUUUUUCUACAUUGAACAUGAUUAAAAUGGGUUUCACUGAGGC
rfam:Nicotiana sylvestris Nsyl_contig168841, whole genome shotgun sequence.